rnacentral:rRNA from 1 species
CCUACGGGAGACUGCAGUAGGGAAUAUUGCUCAAUGGGGGAAACCCUGAAGCAGCAACGCCGCGUGGAGGAUGAAGGUUUUCGGAUUUUAAACUCCUUUUUUUAGAGAAGUUAAUCACGGUAUCUAACGAAUAAUCACCGGCUAACGCCGUUCCGGCAGCCGCGGUAAUACGGAGGGUGCAAGCGUUACUCGGAAUCACUGGGCGUAAAGAGCGCGUAGGCGGGAUAGAAAGUCAGAUGUGAAAUCCUAUGGCUUAACCAUAGAACUGCAUUUGAAACUGUUAUUCUAGAGUAUGGGAGAGGUAGGUGGAAUUCUUGGUGUAGGGGUAAAAUCCGUAGAGAUCAAGAGGAAUCCUCAUUGCGAAGGCGACCUGCUAGAACAUAACUGACGCUGAUGCGCGAAAGCGUGGGGAGCAAACAGGAUUAGAUACCCCUGUAGUC